rnacentral:rRNA from 1 species
GACGAACGCUGGCGGCGUGCUUAACACAUGCAAGUCGAACGGUAAGGCCCUGCUUUUGUGGGGUGCUCGAGUGGCGAACGGGUGAGUAACACGUGAGUAACCUGCCCUUGACUUUGGGAUAACUUCAGGAAACUGGGGCUAAUACCGGAUAGGAGCUCCUGCUGCAUGGUGGGGGUUGGAAAGUUUCGGCGGUUGGGGAUGGACUCGCGGCUUAUCAGCUUGUUGGUGGGGUAGUGGCUUACCAAGGCUUUGACGGGUAGCCGGCCUGAGAGGGUGACCGGCCACAAUGGGACUGAGAUACGGCGCAGACUCCUACGGGAGGCAGCAGUGGGGAAUAUUGCACAAUGGGCGGAAGCCUGAUGCAGCAACGCCGCGUGCGGGAUGACGGCCUUCGGGUUGUAAACCGCUUUCGCCUGUGACGAAGCGUGAGUGACGGUAAUGGGUAAAGAAGCACCGGCUAACUACGUG